rnacentral:rRNA from 1 species
AAUGAACGUUGGCGGCGUGGAUUAGGCAUGCAAGUCGUACGGGCCAGCAAUGGUCAGUGGCGAAAGGGAGAGGAACACGUAGAUACCCACCCUCAGGUCCUGGAUAGCUGCGGGAAACUGCAGGUAAUACAGGAUAAUAUCUCCGGAUCAAAGGUGUGAUUCCGCCGGAGGACGGGUCUGCGUCCUAUCAGCUAGUUGGUGAGGUAAUGGCUCACCAAGGCUAUGACGGGUACGGGGCGUGAGAGCGUGCCCCCGCUCACUGGGACUGAGAUACUGCCCAGACACCUACGGGUGGCUGCAGUCGAGGAUCUUCGGCAAUGGGCGCAAGCCUGACCGAGCGACGCCGCGUGUGGGAUGAAGGCCUUCGGGUUGUAAACCACUGUCGGGGGGGAGGAAAUGCAUGAGAGUUCUCUCUUGUGUUUGACCUAUCCUCGGAGGAAGGACGGGCUAAGUUCGUGCCAGCAGCCGCAGUAAAAC